rnacentral:rRNA from 1 species
UUAAUGAGUUGUCCUUGCGGGUUUGAUGCUGGUAGUGUCCAUCCUUUGGAUAUUGCAUGUGGCUCACCCUAGCAAAUCAUUUUUCCAAACACCUGUGCACCCUUGUUGAAGGGGAGUUGAUUGCCAGCAUACGGUGAUUAAUUUAUCCCUCCAAUUUUCUCUUAUACACUCUGUACAAUUGUGAACGUGCUUUUGUGCCGUGCAAGGCCUCUAUAUAUAUACAACUUUUAACAACGGAUCUCUUGGCUCUCGCAUCGAUGAAGGACGCAGCGAAAUGCGAUAAGUAAUGUGAAUUGCGGAAUUCAGUGAAUCAUCGAAUCUUUGAACGCACCUUGCGCUCCCUGGUAUUCUGGGGAGCACACCUGUUCGAGUGUUGUGGAAUUUCUCAAGUUAUUAAGGUGAUUGUCAGUCUCCUUAGUCUUGGUUGUUGGGCUUUGCCGUAUCCUUUGUUGGAGGGGAUGGCUGGCCUUAAAAGCAUUGGCUGACCCCUUGCAUGGUAGUGGUUUUUUUCUACUCAGUGUGGUAAUAUAUGAUUGCUGAGGAGACAUCUUUUUUGGGUGGCCAUUUAUCAAGUUGGGUUGCUUAUAGUUGAUGUGUUUUUCUUGUUUUGACCUCGAAUCAGGUGGGACUACCCGCUGAACUUAAGCAUAUCAAUAAGCGGAGGAAAAGAAACUAACAAGGAUUCCCCUAGUAACGGCGAGUGAAGCGGGAAGAGCUCAAAUUUAAAAUCUGGCAAUCUUUGGUUGUCUGAAUUGUAAUCUAGAGAAGUGUUUUCCGCGCUGGACUGUGUACAAGCUUCCUGGAUAUGGAACAUCAUAGAGGGUGAGAAUCCCGUCCUUGACACAGACUCCCAGUGCUUUUGUGAUGCGCUCUCGACGAGUCGAGUUGUUUGGGAUUGCAGCUCAAAAUGGGAGGUAAAUUCCUUCUAAAGCUAAAUAUUGGCGAGAGACCGAUAGUGAACAAGUACCGUGAGGGAAAGAUGAAAAGCACUUUGGAAAGAGAGUUAAACAGUACGUGAAAUUGUUAAAAGGGAAACGCUUGAAGUCAGUCAUGUUUGCUUGGACUCAAUCUUACCCUGCCUUGGGUUUGGUGCAUUUCCUUGCUGACGGGCCAGCGUUCAUGUUGUUUGCUGGAAAAUGGGUGAAGGAAUGUGGCUCCUUUGGGAGUGUUAUAGCCUUUAUUCACAUGCAGGGAAUAAUAUGGAGUGGUACA